rnacentral:rRNA from 1 species
GGAGGAAUAUUGGGCAAUGGACGAAAGUCUGACCCAGCAACGCCGCGUGAAGGAUGAAGGCCUUCGGGUCGUAAACUUCUUUUGAGGGAGACGAGAAAGGACGGUAUCCCUCGAAUAAGCCACGGCUAACUACGUGCCAGCAGCCGCGGUAAAACGUAGGUGGCGGAGCGUUAUCCGGAUUCAUUGGGGCGUAAAGAGCUUGUAGGUGGGUGCGAUAAGUUGACGUGAAAACUCCGGGCUUAACUUGGAGAGGCCGUUCAAUACUGUUGUGCUAGAGGGCGUCAGAGGGAAGUGGAAUUCCUGGUGUAGCAGUGAAAUGCGUAGAUAUCAGGAGGAACAUCCGUGGCGAAGGCGGCUUCCUGGGGCGCACCUGACACUGAGAAGCGAAAGCUAGGGAGCAAACGGGNUUAGAAACCCGGUAGUCCUAGCUGUAGACGAUGGAUGCUAGGUGUGAGUGGGAUCUAACCCCGCUCGUGCCGAAGCUAA